rnacentral:rRNA from 1 species
GAUGAACGCUGGCGGCGUGCCUAAUACAUGCAAGUCGAGCGAACAGACGAGGAGCUUUCUCCUCUGACGUUAGCGGCGGACGGGUGAGUAACACGUGGAUAACCUACCUAUAAGACUGGGAUAACUUCGGGAAACCGGAGCUAAUACCGGAUAAUAUAUUGAACCGCAUGGUUCAAUAGUGAAAGACGGUUUUGCUGUCACUUAUAGAUGGUUCCGCGCCGCAUUAGCUAGUUGGUAAGGUAACGGCUUACCAAGGCAACGAUGCGUAGCCGACCUGAGAGGGUGAUCGGCCACACUGGAACUGAGACACGGUCCAGACUCCUACGGGAGGCAGCAGUAGGGAAUAUUCCGCAAUGGGCGAAAGCCUGACGGAGCAACGCCGCGUGAGUGAUGAAGGUCUUCGGAUCGUAAAACUCUGUUAUUAGGGAAGAAAAAAUGUGUAAGUAACUAUGCACGUCUUGACGGUACCUAAUCAGAAAGCCACGGCUAACUACGUG